AUUCCAUAGAGGCAAGUUGAUAUGGCGACCUAGGUAUUUCUCCCAGGCACCUCAUGCCUUAGAGAUAGAGGUCCUGCGAGGCCAACACCCAUCCUCCAUGAAAGAGGUAACAAAGCCCCACGGCCCAAAUUCAUAGCUAGACGCCUUGCAUGUUGCAUAGCAAGGGAAUCACUCGUCACACCCCCUCGGCAGAUCAAAGACUCAUCCCUUCUAAG